rnacentral:rRNA from 1 species
GACGAACGCUGGCGGCGUGCUUAACACAUGCAAGUCGAACGGAAAGGCCCUGCUUUUGUGGGGUGCUCGAGUGGCGAACGGGUGAGUAACACGUGAGUAACCUGCCCUUGACUUUGGGAUAACUUCAGGAAACUGGGGCUAAUACCGGAUAGGAGCUCCUGCUGCAUGGUGGGGGUUGGAAAGUUUCGGCGGUUGGGGAUGGACUCGCGGCUUAUCAGCUUGUUGGUGGGGUAGUGGCUUACCAAGGCUUUGACGGGUAGCCGGCCUGAGAGGGUGACCGGACACAUUAGGACUGAGAUACGGCCCAGACUACUACGGGAGGCAGCAGUGGGGAAUAUUGCACAAUGGGCGGAAGCCUGAUGCAGCAACGCCGCGUGCGGGAUGACGGCCUUCGGGUUGUAAACCGCUUUCGCCUGUGACGAAGCGUGAGUGACGGUAAUGGGUAAAGAAGCACCGGCUAACUACGUG